CUUUUUAAAAUGUUGCCGGAAACUUUUACUCAGCCAAUAAAGAGCAAAAGGAUUGAUGCAGGAAUUGCUGAAGGCCAAGGCACGGGAAAAAAUAGUAGCUAUCAGAUGAAAGGUGGAAGCAUCUACAGAAGCAUGUGUUUUCUGAACUGGCUUUGCCACCUUUGUGUUGGGGAAAGGAGUCCCUGCUCUACAGACAACAUUCUUGGGGAUGGAUACGCGUAAUUGCCUUGGUUCUGACUUGCAUCUAUGUUGCAGCUUUAGUGUCUUCUCUUUAAAUUGAAAUUGCCAAUAGCAUGACAAAUAAUGGCAAGACAAGGGCACAAAGAGUAUCAUGACUCACGUCGAUAGUAAGAAUGAAGCUUUUAUCUGACAGCCAUUUCAUGGGCUGUAUGACUUGUGUAACUGUUCCCAAUCCAUUUUCUAGUGUUCAGGCAGGCAAGUAUUAAAUGGGAAGGCCUGAAUGCACACCUGGAGCGAGCGUCAAUGUCGGAGACAGCAGUCCAUGUUUAGAGCAAAUUACUAACACAUCCAGGGCUGUUUCCAGUUCCUACUGCGAGAACGGGAAUGAGUCAUUUCCAUGCACUACAUCUGAGUCCCUUCCGAAACAGAGAGAACAUCACCUCCCCAUCUCACCAGGCAUCCAUUUCGGAGCUACGAGUGUCAGGCAAUGGGGAGGGAGGUUGCAUAAGGCUCUGCCCGCACUGGAUUUCUUCACUUGAGAGCACAAGAGCUUGGUUUCAGUGUCUGUCAAUCUGAUGUUUUUCACCACUAAGUGGGAACAUCUUCUCUACCCUGUAUUUUGAUUUUUUACCAUUGCCCAGUGUCCUCAGCAGUUGGAGACAAAACAACUACUGAGCUAUUAAAAGGGAAAAUAUCUUUUUAGGAUACUUUAAUGACAAUUUCCUUGGCUGUGUCACAUUCAUAGCAGAGUGUAACCAUUCAUUGUCAAUGACUACCCAUUUAGGAGAAAAAUGCAUUAGUUUAUCACUGGUUUUAUCUCCCUGUCACCUGUAUGGAGUCGAUCCUACACCAAGGGCAGAGGGAGCUGUGCAGGCACUGAGAUUUAGGGCAUCAAAUCCUGCAAUAACGUUUGAUUGGAACUGCAUCCCUGUUUUCUGGAACUGAAGAUGAGCUAUCGAGUUACACUUUCAAAUACCACAAGACUUACCAGCAUGUCUAGGAGCAAAAAUAACACAAUCCCAGCCCUCAGUGUUACGAAGGUGAGACGGAAGGUCAGUUCAGAUGAGCUGUCAGGAGCAGCAUUCAGUGAUACAGCAACAAGAGGGAUAUUUAAAUCCAGACUAGCCUCCUUUUCCGAGAGUUUCCUCAGCCAGUUUCAGUAUGGGAAUGGCCAGUGAAAUACUGGUGUCAUUUCUCA